UGAACGCUGGCGGCGUGCCUAAUACAUGCAAGUCGAGCGAACAGACGAGGAGCUUGCUCCUCUGACGUUAGCGGCGGACGGGUGAGUAACACGUGGAUAACCUACCUAUAAGACUGGGAUAACUUCGGGAAACCGGAGCUAAUACCGGAUAAUAUAUUGAACCGCAUGGUUCAAUAGUGAAAGACGGUUUUGCUGUCACUUAUAGAUGGAUCCGCGCCGCAUUAGCUAGUUGGUAAGGUAACGGCUUACCAAGGCAACGAUGCGUAGCCGACCUGAGAGGGUGAUCGGCCACACUGGAACUGAGACACGGUCCAGACUCCUACGGGAGGCAGCAGUAGGGAAUCUUCCGCAAUGGGCGAAGGCCUGACGGAGCAACGCCGCGUGAGUGAUGAAGGUCUUCGGAUCGUAAAACUCUGUUAUUAGGGAAGAACAAAUGUGUAAGUAACUAUGCACGUCUUGACGGUACCUAAUCAGAAAGCCACGGCUAACUACGUG
rnacentral:rRNA from 1 species